rnacentral:rRNA from 1 species
UACGUAGGGACCAAGCGUUGUUCGGAUUUACUGGGCGUAAAGGGCGCGUAGGCGGCAAUUCAAGUCAUCUGUGAAAUCUCCGGGCUUAACCCGGAACGGUCAGAUGAUACUGCUUUGCUAGAGUGCGGAAGGGGCAAUCGGAAUUCUCGGUGUAGCGGUGAAAUGCGUAGAUAUCAGGAGGAACACCUGCGGUGUAGACGGCUUACUGGACGGUAACUGACGCUGAGGCACGAAAGCGUGGGUAGCAAACAGG